AGAGUUUGAUCCUGGCUCAGAUUGAACGCUGGCGGCAUGCCUUACACAUGCAAGUCGAACGGCAGCACGGGAGCUUGCUCCUGGUGGCGAGUGGCGAACGGGUGAGUAAUAUAUCGGAACGUGCCCUAGAGUGGGGGAUAACUAGUCGAAAGAUUAGCUAAUACCGCAUACGAUCUACGGAUGAAAGUGGGGGAUCGCAAGACCUCAUGCUCAUGGAGCGGCCGAUAUCUGAUUAGCUAGUUGGUGGGGUAAAAGCUCACCAAGGCGACGAUCAGUAGCUGGUCUGAGAGGACGACCAGCCACACUGGAACUGAGACACGGUCCAGACUCCUACGGGAGGCAGCAGUGGGGAAUUUUGGACAAUGGGCGCAAGCCUGAUCCAGCAAUGCCGCGUGAGUGAAGAAGGCCUUCGGGUUGUAAAGCUCUUUUGUCAGGGAAGAAACGGUCUUGGUUAAUACCUGGGGCUAAUGACGGUACCUGAAGAAUAAGCACCGGCUAACUACGUGCCAGCAGCCGCGGUAAUACGUAGGGUGCAAGCGUUAAUCGGAAUUACUGGGCGUAAAGCGUGCGCAGGCGGUUAUGCAAGACAGAUGUGAAAUCCCCGGGCUCAACCUGGGAAUUGCAUUUGUGACUGUAUGGCUAGAGUGUGUCAGAGGGGGGUAGAAUUCCACGUGUAGCAGUGAAAUGCGUAGAUAUGUGGAGGAAUACCGAUGGCGAAGGCAGCCCCCUGGGAUAACACUGACGCUCAUGCACGAAAGCGUGGGGAGCAAACAGGAUUAGAUACCCUGGUAGUCCACGCCCUAAACGAUGUCUACUAGUUGUCGGGUCUUAAUUGACUUGGUAACGCAGCUAACGCGUGAAGUAGACCGCCUGGGGAGUACGGUCGCAAGAUUAAAACUCAAAGGAAUUGACGGGGACCCGCACAAGCGGUGGAUGAUGUGGAUUAAUUCGAUGCAACGCGAAAAACCUUACCUACCCUUGACAUGUACGGAAUCCUGAAGAGAUUUAGGAGUGCUCGAAAGAGAACCGUAACACAGGUGCUGCAUGGCUGUCGUCAGCUCGUGUCGUGAGAUGUUGGGUUAAGUCCCGCAACGAGCGCAACCCUUGUCAUUAGUUGCUACGAAAGGGCACUCUAAUGAGACUGCCGGUGACAAACCGGAGGAAGGUGGGGAUGACGUCAAGUCCUCAUGGCCCUUAUGGGUAGGGCUUCACACGUCAUACAAUGGUACAUACAGAGGGCCGCCAACCCGCGAGGGGGAGCUAAUCCCAGAAAGUGUAUCGUAGUCCGGAUUGGAGUCUGCAACUCGACUCCAUGAAGUUGGAAUCGCUAGUAAUCGCGGAUCAGCAUGUCGCGGUGAAUACGUUCCCGGGUCUUGUACACACCGCCCGUCACACCAUGGGAGCGGGUUCUGCCAGAAGUAGUUAGCCUAACCGUAAGGAGGGCGAUUACCACGGCAGGGUUCGUGACUGGGGUGAAGUCGUAACAAGGUAGCCGUAUCGGAAGGUGCGGCUG
rnacentral:rRNA from 1 species